rnacentral:rRNA from 1 species
GAUGAACGCUGGCGGCGUGCCUAAUACAUGCAAGUCGAGCGAACAGACGAGGAGCUUGCUCCUCUGACGUUAGCGGCGGACGGGUGGGUAACACGUGGAUAACCUACCUAUAAGACUGGGAUAACUUCGGGAAACCGGAGCUAAUACCGGAUAAUAUAUUGAACCGCAUGGUUCAAUAGUGAAAGACGGUUUUGCUGUCACUUAUAGAUGGAUCCGCGCCGCAUUAGCUAGUUGGUAAGGUAACGGCUUACCAAGGCGACGAUGCGUAGCCGACCUGAGAGGGGGAUCGGCCACACUGGAAAUGAGACACGGUCCAGACUCCUACGGGAGGCAGCCGUUGGGAAGCUUCCGCAAUGGGCGAAAGCCUGACGGGGCAACGCCGCGUGAGUGAUUAAGGUCUUCGGAUCGUAAAACUCUGUUAUUAGGGAAGAACAAAUGUGUAAGUAACUAUGCACGUCUUGACGGUACCUAAUCAGAAAGCCACGGCUAACUACGUG